ACAUUUUGUAUUCUAUACUUGCUAGACAAAGAUACAGCGUGUAAUUAGUCCUUGAUAUAGACUCAGGAUUUGGGCUUUCCUCCAAAGUUUUAAAGCAUUGGGGUAAAAUUUAUAUUUUCUGGAACAAAAUACUUUCCAGAAUUUGAAAUCACUUCUUCGAUAAAAGUCCUACUCUAAGAGAAAAAUGGGAGAAUAGUUUCCUGCGUCUCUCUUGGUUCCCAAAUCUCUGCAGUUCACAGCAGCUAGAUGAAAGCCUGGGAAGGGAAAGAUCUGAAAAAAAAAAAAGACAUCUGAGCCUUGAAACUGUACUUGGAUUCUGCCUCUCUGUGCUUACUAGAACAAGAAUACAGAAUAACUUGGGUCCCAGUUUGGAGUCUGCUGUAUACCAGAAAGUUAUGAAGCUGAAUCUGGAUCUAAGUAUACAAUAGGGCUGAUAAGGCUUUGAAGAAUUUUUUAAAAAAAUUGGAUAUUAAUUGAAACCUGAUUUUUCUACUAUUAAUGUAUUAGACCAUGACCACAAUUCAGAAGUGCAGUGAUAUACCUGUAGCUGUGCAAGUUAGGAGAUUUGGAAGUCUUGCUGGGUUUCUGUAUAACUGUUCACAACCAAAUAAAAAAUAGAAUGUAUACUGUAUGCAUUUAAAAAGUACCUAACAACUUCUGUUGUUAUGUGUAUAGCAUAUUUUUUUCAUCUUUGUCCAUGUCAUAAAUGCUAAGGCUCAAUAAUCAUAUUUCAUAUAUAUUUAAAAUAUUUUGUGUAUCAUUGAAUGAUAGUGCUGUUAUUUAUCUUUGAAAGAUACAUUGCUAUCCCUCUGGUUCCUAUAAUGGCUAAAAGUAAUAUUAAGUAAAGAGUGAAUGGACAAUAUUUAAA